AACCUCAUCCCACCUCACCCCAAGAAACCACUGAUCUGUGCUCGUUGCCCAGCUCCACAUAGCAGGAUACUCUUGGACACGAAGACUUCCCUCACCAGAUGUACUCUUAGCAAGUGAAAUGACAUCAGCCAUCUUCAAACAGCAAGAAUUAAUAAGAUACCAUCAUUAAGUAUCUUGAUUAGAAAACCUCCAGAAGCAGCUAUCACAUGAAAGU